GGGCGGAUGGUUUAGUGGUAUAAUACUCCCUUAGCAUGGUGAUUCUAGUCUGUACAUCUGGGAGUGGUCCGGGGUUCGAUUCCCCGUCUGUCCA